rnacentral:lncRNA from 1 species
CUGUCCAGACCUCCGAUCUCCAAGCCAAAUGCGACUCCGUCUCCGCCCAAAUCUCCGCCCUCGCCGCCCUCCUCUGCCUGAUCCUCGCUUGCCAGCCUAGAAUGUUCGUUGCGGAUGUGGGAUUGGGCGGGGCUGUUUGCUUGCAGGGACUCUGGAUGCUCCAGACCGGACUCUCGCUUUACGUGGACGCGUUUAUUCCGGAUGGUUGCCACAAAUUGCUGGAUGUGGUGAGUGGUGUGGAGGGAUCGACGAAGUGUGAGUUGGAGGAUUCUAGAUUGAGAGCGGUGGCUAUUUUGGAUC